GAAGACGGAGAAGUCAGCCAGGAGGCUUGGGAGAUCGAGGGCCAGACGGAUGAUGCAGUCGGCGCAUGUCCCUCUACGUCCAGGUUGUCGGUGGAAUCGUCGCAGAGAAGUGCUACGGUGCGGUCGGCGGCUGCUGGGAGGACGCCCCAGGGACAGCCAGGUCUGCAACAAAACCG